UACGUAGGGGCAAGCGUUGUCCGGAUUUAUUGGGCGUAAAGAGCGUGUAGGCGGUUUGGUAGGUCCGCUGUGAAAACUCGAGGCUCAACCUCGAGACGCCGGUGGAAACCAUCAGGCUAGAGUCCGGAAGAGGAGAGUGGAAUUCCUGGUGUAGCGGUGAAAUGCGCAGAUAUCAGGAAGAACACCCGUGGCUAAGGCGGCUCUCUAGUACGGUACUGACGCUGAGACGCGAAAGCGUGGGGAGCGAACAGG
rnacentral:rRNA from 1 species